rnacentral:rRNA from 1 species
GAUCCUGGCUCAGGAUGAACGCUAGCGACAGGCUUAACACAUGCAAGUCGAGGGGCAUCACGGGAGUAGCAAUACAACUGGUGGCGACCGGCGCACGGGUGAGUAACGCGUAUGCAACCUACCUAUCAGAGGGGAAUAACCCGGCGAAAGUCGGACUAAUACCGCAUAAAACAGGGGCACCGCAUGGUGAUAUUUGUUAAAGAAAUUCGCUGAUAGAUGGGCAUGCGUUCCAUUAGGUAGUUGGUGAGGUAACGGCUCACCAAGCCGACGAUGGAUAGGGGACUGAGAGGUUGGUCCCCCACACUGGUACUGAGACACGGACCAGACUCCUACGGGAGGCAGCAGUGAGGAAUAUUGGUCAAUGGGCGGGAGCCUGAACCAGCCAAGUCGCGUGAAGGAAGAAGGAUCUACGGUUCGUAAACUUCUUUUGCAGGGGAAUAAAGUGCAGGACGUGUCCUGUUUUGUAUGUACCCUGAGAAUAAGGAUCGGCUAACUCCGUGCCAGCAGCCGC